CCUACGGGUGGCAGCAGUGAGGAAUAUUGGUCAAUGGUCGGGAGACUGAACCAGCCAAGCCGCGUGAGGGAGGAAGGUACAGAGUAUCGUAAACCUCUUUUGUCAGGGAACAAAGGCGGGGACGUGUCCCCGGAUGAGUGUACCUGAAGAAAAAGCAUCGGCUAACUCCGUGCCAGCAGCCGCGGUAAUACGGAGGAUGCGAGCGUUAUCCGGAUUUAUUGGGUUUAAAGGGUGCGCAGGCGGUCUGUUAAGUCAGCGGGCAAAGCCCGGGGCUCAACCCCGGACCGCCGUUGAAACUGGCAGUCUCGAGUUGGAGAGAGGUAUGCGGAAUGCGCGGUGUAGCGGUGAAAUGCAUAGAUAUCGCGCAGAACUCCGAUUGCGAAGGCAGCAUGCCGGCUCCACACUGACGCUGAGGCACGAAAGCGUGGGUAUCGAACAGGAUUAGAUACCCCGGUAGUC
rnacentral:rRNA from 1 species